UGGCGGACGGGUGAGUAACACGUGAGGAACCUACCCUCAAGUGGGGAAUAACUGCCAGAAAUGGCAGCUAAUACCGCAUGUAUUUGGUUGCGGGCAUCCGUGACCGAACAAAGAUUUAUCGCUUGAGGACGGCCUCGCGGCCUAUUAGCUUGUUGGUGGGGUAAUGGCCUACCAAGGCUGUGAUGGGUAGCUGGUCUGAGAGGACGAUCAGCCACACUGGGACUGAGACACGGCCCAGACUCCUACGGGAGGCAGCAGUGAGGAAUUUUCCGCAAUGGGCGCAAGCCUGACGGAGCAACGCCGCGUGUGUGAUGAAGUCCUUCGGGAUGUAAAGCACUGUCGGAGGGGAUGAACAAAUGACAGUACCCUCCAAGAAAGCCCCGGCUAACUACGUGCCAGCAGCCGCGGUAAUACGUAGGGGGCAAGCGUUAUCCGGAUUUACUGGGCGUAAAGCGCGUGUAGGCGGUUGCGUAAGUUGGUUGUGAAAUCUCCCGGCUCAACCGGGAAACUGCGUCCAA
rnacentral:rRNA from 1 species